rnacentral:tRNA from 1 species
GCUAAUGUAGCUUAAAUAAAGCAUAACACUGAAGAUGUUAAGAUGAACCCUAAGAAGUCCCAUAAGCA